rnacentral:rRNA from 1 species
UAUUUUGAACUGCAUGGUUCGAAAUUGAAAGGCGGCUUCGGCUGUCACUUAUGGAUGGACCCGCGUCGCAUUAGCUAGUUGGUGAGGUAACGGCUCACCAAGGCAACGAUGCGUAGCCGACCUGAGAGGGUGAUCGGCCACACUGGGACUGAGACACGGCCCAGACUCCUACGGGAGGCAGCCCUUUAGUAGGGAAUCUUCCGCAAUGGACGAAAGUCUGACGGAGCAACGCCGCGUGAGUGAUGAAGGCUUUCGGGUCGUAAAACUCUGUUGUUAGCGGAAGAACAAGUGCUAGUUGAAUAAGCUGGCACCUUGACGGUACCUAACCAGAAAGCCACGGCUAACUACGUGCCAGCAGCCGCGGUAAUACGUAGGUGGCAAGCGUUAUCCGGAAUUAUUGGGCGUAAUCAGCGCGCGCCGUGAGGUGGUUUCUUAAGUCUGAUGUGAAAGCCCACGGCUCAACCGUGGAGGGUCAUUGGAAACUGGGAGACUUGAGUGCAGAAGAGGAAAGUGGAAUUCCAUGUGUAGCGGUGAAAUGCGUAGAGAUAUGGAGGAACACCAGUGGCGAACGCGACUUUCUGGUCUGUAACUGACACU